rnacentral:rRNA from 1 species
GAAAGUCUGACGCACAAACGCCGCGUGGGUGAUGAAGGCCUUCGGGUCGUAAAGCCCUGUUGAGGGAGAGAAAAGCUACUGUCGGUUAAUACCCGGCAGUGGUGAUAGUAUCCCUAGAGAAAGCACCGGCUAACUACGUGCCAGCAGCCGCGGUAAUACGUAGGGUGCAAGCGUUGCUCGGAAUUACUGGGAGUAAAGGGACAGCAGGCGGUUUUGUAUGUCGCAGGUGAAAUACUCCGGCUUAACUGGAGAAACGCGGCAGAAACUGCAGGACUAGAGGACAGGAGAGGUGGGAGGAAUUCCCGUAGUAGCGGUGAAAUGCGUAAUUAUCGGGAGGAACAGCGAAGGCGAAGCUAAUCCACUGGACUGUUCACGAUGAUCAUGCUCAAACGCUAGGGGAUCAAACGGGAUAUAAUACCCCGGUCGUCCUAGCCGUAAACUACGGUACUAG